rnacentral:rRNA from 1 species
UAAAAGCUACCCUGGGGAUAACAGGCUUAUCUCCCCCAAGAGUCCACAUCGACGGGGAGGUUUGGCACCUCGAUGUGGGCUCAUCACAUCCUGGGGGUUUAGUAGGUCCCAAGGGUUGGGCUGUUCGCCCAUUAAAGUGGUACGCGAGCUGGGUUCAGAACGUCGUGAGACAGUUCGGUCCCUAUCCGUCGCAGGCGUAGGAAAUUUGAGAAGACCUGUCCUUAGUACGGGAGGACCGGGAUGGACGUACCUCUGGUGUACCAGUUGUUCUGCCAAGGGCAUGGCUGGGUAGCUAUGUACGGAAUGGAUAAGCGCUGAAAGCAUCGAAGCGCGAAGCCAACUUCAAGAUAAGAUUUCCCACCG